UCAGUCCAAAUUUCGCAUUAGAUUCUGUCGUUUUGCAUCCCAACCAACCGAGUGAAGCUGCUUUUUUGAUCGCCUCAGUUUUUCGAAGCGAAUUUCUAGUUUUCGGUUCCAAUUUUUACCAUUUUCGCGUCGCGCAAUAUUAUGGCAGACAAAGAGAGCAAGGAUAAACCGAAGGUCGACCUGGGUCUCCUGGAAGAGGACGAUGAGUUCGAAGAAUUCCCUGCAGAAGAUUGGACGGGCAAUAAGGAAGACGAGGAAGAGCUGAGCGUCUGGGAGGAUAACUGGGACGAUGACAAUGUGGAGGACGAUUUCAAUCAACAGCUGCGAGCGCAACUUGAGAAGCAGAAACCUAACUAAGUUUUUAUUUGUAUUAUAUUCCAAUAAAACCCAGAUGGAAAUUUAAGUAAUAA